GAUGAACGCUGGCGGCGUGCCUAAUACAUGCAAGUCGAACGAACAAACGAGGAGCUUGCUCCUCUGACGUUAGCGGCGGACGGGUGAGUAACACGUGGAUAACCUACCUAUAAGACUGGGAUAACUUCGGGAAACCGGAGCUAAUACCGGAUAAUAUACUGAACCGCAUGGUCCCCUAGUGAAAGACGGUUUUGCUGUCACUUAUCGCUGGAUCCGCGCCGCAUUAGCUAGUUGGUAAGGUAACGGCCUACCAAGGCAACGAUGCGUAGCCGACCUGGGAGGGUGAUCGGCGACACUGGAACGGAGACACCGUCCAUACUCCUACGGGAGGGAGCAGUAGGCAACCGUCCGCAACGGUCGAGAGCCUUACGCAGCAGGCCCGCGUGUGUUAUGGAAACGUUGGGUGCGUGACACCCUGUUAUGAGGUAAAACCAUCUGUUAAAGUAGAUGUAGCCAACGUGACGGUACCUAAACAGAAAGCCACGGCUAACUACGUG
rnacentral:rRNA from 1 species